rnacentral:lncRNA from 10 species
GCUUACUAUACCAGGCACUGCCCUAAAUGCUUUGAUGCACUAGUUUUAGCCUCAUGAUAACUUUAUGAAGUAGUAAAUAUUAGUAGCCCCUCAUGGUUAGAUGAGGAAACCGAGCCCAGAGACGGUAAGCAAGUUGUCCAAGGUCGUAGCGUGAUAUUGCCUUCGGAGCCCAGGCUCAUCUUGACUGAUCCCCAGCACUGCCUCCAUGACAGAUCUGUGCUAGAAUGGAGGAAUAACCUGAGAAAUUAUUGGUGACACAUGGAGAAAAUUGAAAUUGCAUGGCUAAAGAGGUGGAUAGUUACAAAUAAUUGCAAAGCCAGAUUUGUAGACAAAUUUCCCAGUUCUGCCUACUGAAUGUCUGUGUUCCUAGCAGGUUCUCCUUCUUCUGGAGACAAAUUGCAUUCCCCUCUCCACACAUCCCUAAUGUGGUUAUUGAGGGCCUCAACAUACUCAUAGGACCCAACACCUCACC